ACAUAUGUUAGAGAGAUGGGAAACAAAAAACCACUUCAGCCAAGCUUAAAAUAACACAGGCGGCGCAUUUCCGUUAGACCAUUUUCUCUCAUUUUCAUAUUUUUGUUGAAUUGAAAAAAAGGGUGGAAUGGUAUAACGAUCAUUUUUAUCUUGUUUUUAUACUUCAACAUCUCUAUCAUCUUCAUUUUUUUCCAAAACACAAACCUAUUGAACAACUAAAAAACUCCUCCAACAAAACAAGAUUUCCAUCACCACCUUAUUU
rnacentral:lncRNA from 1 species